rnacentral:rRNA from 1 species
CGCCAGACUCCUACGGGAGGCAGCAGUGAGGAAUAUUGGUCAAUGGUCGGGAGACUGAACCAGCCAAGCCGCGUGAGGGAUGAAGGUACAGAGUAUCGUAAACCUCUUUUGUCAGGGAACAAAGGCGGGGACGCGUCCCCGGAUGAGUGUACCUGAAGAAAAAGCAUCGGCUAACUCCGUGCCAGCAGCCGCGGUAAUACGGAGGAUGCGAGCGUUAUCCGGAUUUAUUGGGUUUAAAGGGUGCGCAGGCGGUCUGUAAAGUCAGGGGUAAAAGCCGGGGGCUCACCCCCGGUCCGCCGUUGAAACUGGCAGUCUCGAGUUGGAGAGAAGUAUGCGGAAUGCGCGGUGUAGCGGUGAAAUGCAUAGAUAUCGCGCAGAACCCCGAUUGCGAAGGCAGCGUGCCGUGCCGCCACUGACGCUGAGGCACGAAAGCGCGGGGAUCGAACAGGAUUAGAUACCCGUGUAU